AACGGGUGGCGGGUUGCCGCCGUGCUUAGGCGCGGAGGAAAGUCCGGGCAUCGCAGAGCAAAGUGCCGGCUAACAGCCGGAGCCGGUAACGGUAUGGAUAGCGCAACAGAAAACAAACCGCCGGCCCGGAAACAGGCCGGUAAGGGUGAAAAGGCGAGGUAAAAGCUCACCGCGCCUUUGGUAACAAAGGCGGCAGUGCAAGCCCCACUUGAUGCAAGACCAAACAGAAAUGAAUACGCUGCUCGCGUUUCGCUUUGCGGCAUUUCGGGUAGGUCGCUGGAAGCCACCGGCAACGGUGGCUCAAGAGAAAUGGCAGCCACGCAUUUUGCGAACAGAACCCGGCUUAUAGCCACCCGUUUUUA
rnacentral:RNase_P_RNA from 1 species